GGACCUCUAAUUUUUCUUUGGAGUCGUAUUCACAAGCCUCUUCCAAUUUCUCAAUCCCUGAUUCACUCGUUUCUGAGCUUUGUCCUGUAAUUUCUGUCCCUUUUGCAUGUGGAAGCUCUAAAUAGAUGUUCUUGGUGCUUCCACAAGUUUUAGGGUUAUUUUCAUCAUGGUUUUCCUCAUCUCUACCUGCUCCAUUAGCUUCUUCAACUAGCUCCUGCGGUUUAGAGCCAGAGACUUCCCUUUGCUCUUCACCUUCUGCUAGUAA
rnacentral:misc_RNA from 1 species